AUGAACGCUGGCGGCGUGUUUAAGGCAUGCAAGUCGAACGAUUCAGUGAAUUGCGCAAGCAUUUGACUGGAUAGUGGCAAACGGGUGAGUAACACAUUGGUAACCUACCCUGAAGUUCGGAAUAACCUGCCGAAAGGCGGGCUAAUACCGGAUAAGUCCACAGAACAUAUGUUCUGUGGGUAAAGCCCAAAAGGCGCUUCGGGAUGAGCCUAUGGCUUAUCAGCUUGUUGGUGAGGUAAAAGCUCACCAAGGCUAUGACGAGUACCGGGUGUGAGAGCAUGACCCGGCUCACUGGGACUGAGACACUGCCCAGACACCUACGGGUGGCUGCAGUCGAGAAUCUUCCACAAUGGGGGCAACCCUGAUGGAGCGACGCCGCGUGCAGGAUGAAGGGCUUCGGCUUGUAAACUGCUUUUCUAUGGGACGAAGCUUCGGCUGACGGUACCAUGGGAAUAAGAGGUUGCUAACUCUGU
rnacentral:rRNA from 1 species